rnacentral:rRNA from 1 species
AGUGAACGCUGGCGGUAGGCCUAACACAUGCAAGUCGAACGGCAGCACAGUAAGAGCUUGCUCUUACGGGUGGCGAGUGGCGGACGGGUGAGGAAUACAUCGGAAUCUACUUUUUCGUGGGGGAUAACGUAGGGAAACUUGCGCUAAUACCGCAUACGACCUACGGGUGAAAGCAGGGGAUCUUCGGACCUUGCGCGAUUGAAUGAGCCGAUGUCGGAUUAGCUAGUUGGCGGGGUAAAGGCCCACCAAGGCGACGAUCCGUAGCUGGUCUGAGAGGAUGAUCAGCCGCACUGGAACUGAGACACGGUCCAGACUCCUACGGGAGGCAGCAGUGGGGAAUAUUGGACAAUGGGCGCAAGCCUGAUCCAGCCAUACCGCGUGGGUGAAGAAGGCCUUCGGGUUGUAAAGCCCUUUUGUUGGGAAAGAAAAGCAGCAGGUUAAUACCCCGCUGUUCUGACGGUACCCAAAGAAUAAGCACCGGCUAACUUCGUG